CCUACUGGAGGCAGCAGUGGGGAAUAUUGCACAAUGGGGGAAACCCUGAUGCAGCAACGCCGCGUGAAGGAAGACGGUUUUCGGAUUGGAAACUUCUGUUCUUAGUGAAGAAUAAUGACGGUAGCUAAGGAGCAAGCCACGGCUCACUACGUGCCAGCAGCCGCGGUACUACGUAGGUGGCAAGCGUUGUCCGGAAUUACUGGGGGUAAAGGGAGUGCAGGGGGGAAGCCAAGUCAGCUGUGAAAAGUACGGGCUUAACUUGUAGACUGCAGUUGAAACUGGUUGUCUUGAGUGAAGUAGAGGUUGGCGGAAUUCCGAGUGUAGCGGUGAAAUGCGUAGAUAUCAGGAGGAACACCGGUGGCGAAGGCGGCCUGCUGGACUGCGACUGACGUUGAGGCCCGAAAGCGUGGGGAGCAAACAGGAUUAGAUACCCUAGUAGUC
rnacentral:rRNA from 1 species